CCCUUAGAUGUUCUGGGCCGCACGCGUGCUACACUGAGUGGAUCAGCGGGUCAGGUUGCGCGAAAGUGUUUCCUAAUCUUGAAAUCCGCUCGUGAUGGGGAUUGACGGUUGCAAUUUUCUGUCAUGAACGAGGAAUACCUUGUAAGCGCGGGUCAUCAUCCCGCGCUGAAUACGUCCCUGCCCUUUGUACACACCGCCCGUCGCUCCUACCGAUUGAGUGGUCCGGUGAGGCUUUGGGAUCUGGAUGGAAAGAGCGUUUCGCUGUUUCUGCCUGGAAAACUCAGUCGAACCUUAUCAUUUAGAGGAAGGAGAAGUCGUAACA
rnacentral:rRNA from 1 species